AUGGGGCUGUCUUUACCUUCCUCAAGCUCAACGCCUUUUAAAGUAAUUGCAGUAAAGUGCAGUCAUAUUCAGUACUGAGAACGCGUGAAUAGCGCUUCAUUUCAGUCUGCAAAAGAAGCUGGGCGAGUUUUUUUGACCUCACAAAUUAUGGAUUUGGAUUUAGCUGCGGCUGUUGGAAAAGAUGAUGAAGUAAAGAAAACCGAGGGUAAACAGGUGGAAGGAAUCUUUGGUUUCGGAAAGAAAGACAAGGAUAAAAAUAAAAAUCACAAGGACAAAGACCAAUGCAAAGAUAAGGAACACAAAGACAAAUCACACAAGAAGCCCAAAGAGCACAAGAAGCCCAAAGAGCACAAGAAGCCCAAAGAGCACAAGAAGCCCAAAGAGCACAAGAAGAAAGAAGGUGGCCAUGGUUCUUCAUCCUCUUCUUCCUGCAGCAGUGAUGAUGAUUAGGGCUGAAACUGGAAUGAAGAAAGGGUUUUGUUUUGUUUUCCUGACUGCACAACUAUAUAAGGCAUUUGAAUGGGAUCGGUUCAUACUGUAGAGGGAAUAAUCAUUUGGUCAUGUGCAAGACUGUGUAUAUACUUCUAACAAUAACAGAAUAAUAAAUACAACUGAAAUGGUCAAA